GAAGCUUAGAUGAACAUGACCCAAAUCUGCUCCCACAUAGCCAAGCCACAAAUAUUUAAACCGCUACAACCACCAGAAACCACUAUGCAACCUAUGAUGCCUCAUAUCUCAUCAUUAUAACCAAAAAACGAGGAUCAGCAUAAAGAAUAUAAGAAUAGUACAAAAGGUGAAAACAAAAUAAGAGUGGAAAGGGUCGUGUGAGACUUGUCUUCCUUUUUAGAUCCCCAGCACAGUAAGAUAACAAGGGCCCUGUUUUAUAGACUUUAACUCGAUGCGGAAAAGUCGAUACUUUAAGUGCAAUUAUUGGACUUGUCAUCUUAUAUCAUGGAGCCAUGAAUACACUUUCUUCUGACUCCACCAUGAAUACACAUUUUAAUGAGUAAAAAGGAAUCAUUGAGAAAACCAUGUUUUUAAUGGGAAAAUUGUUAAAACAGAACAGUAUAAUUGUACGUUGUAACUAGUAUAAAAUCAAUUUUGUCAAUUUUAUCUCUUUUUUAUUUUUUAUAUUUCUAAAUUAAUGAAAUAAAUAGUUUUGCGAAUAAAAAAAUUAUAAAAAUCAUAAACUGUUGUGUUAUGAAGGGAAAAACGUGUGUAUUUUUAUUACUGUCGCCAAUAGGCUUAUAUAUACAUUACAUAGUAGUUAUCCUAGUCGCCAAUAGGCUUAUAUAUACAUUACAUAGUAGUUAUACAUGGGAUAAAUACAAAAUAAGAUCAGGCGCCUAUGGCUUUCUCCGGAUGGGUUUGGGCCAAGCUGCUGCACGGGCCUGCUAGUGGUCGAUCACAUAAUCAGUACAUAACACUCCUUCUUGAUCGACACAUCUGGUAUAGGUUCGUUGCAUACUUAAUGUUGCCUCAUUAAAACUUCUCCUGGUUAACCUCAAAACCAAUGUGGCAAAAUGGGAAACCAAGGACAGGAAAAAGAGUACAACACAUGAACUCUCUCUGAUGAAUGCAUCACUGUAGUUGACGCAUUUCCAUCUUGUAUCCAAGUCUUCCUGAACGUUGAAGCUGCCUGUGACUUGAUGAAGAUGAUCAACUGGAUUCUCCUUUAAUGAACUGGUAACACAUGGACGUCUUGGUGUGUUUGGAACUCCAUAAAGGUGUGGUCAGGAUGUACACCUUUGUUGCUGAUCACUCCUUGUCUUGGUCGGACUGAUGGUGCUUCGAACGGUGCUCGGAUGGACUUAUAAUCUGCAAUAAAACUUUACUUGCAGGUCCUUUUCAUGUCCCACGGGUUCUCUUUGGUUAUAUGGCUUUAUUAAACCGUGGACACUUUAAUAUACAUUGAGUCAUAGACCCAAAA